ACAGGCUGCAGGCUCCGCCCAUCCUCCCAGAGGCUCCCGCUUCCUCCUCCUCCAGCCUGUCUCCCUCCUUCCUCUUCUUUCACCUUCGUUUUCUCUCUGGAAAGCCCCGGGGACGAGGACGGCUGUUGGAAGACUGCCCGAAGGGAUAGCUGGAGCGCGCCCUGAGGGGGAGGGAGGAGCUGGGGGAGGAAGGCGACCGGAGGAGUCGGCGGCUUGGUCUGCGGUGCCUGGCAGCGCCUCGCACCCGCUAGAUCCCAGACUCAGCGCUCGGUGCCUAGCUCUGCCAGGCGUAGGUCUGGUCAGCUGGAGACUUCUGGGGACCCGAGAAGAAGAACAUUUGGUUUGACUUGCCCCCACUAGAAAAGCAGCACCUAACCACCAAGCUCUGCCAAAGUCCGGAAAGAAAUGGAACCUCCGCAUAUGUGGCAGCGAGCUGAAGAGUGUGAAUGCCUGAGGAACAAAGGUGCCUGAUUCUGCAAGGGAAUCUAUGAGUUCCUGUAGACAUUGACAAGUAUGUCAUACCUACAACAGGCAAAUUUUGUGCCUUGCUAAAAUGUAAACAUACAUUUAAAAAAGCAGUUAUGGGAGGGUGGAUUUGUUCAAAACACAUCAUAUGCACGAAUGAAAUCUCAAAUAAAAAAAUCAGCU
rnacentral:lncRNA from 1 species